rnacentral:rRNA from 1 species
CUCCUACGGGAGGCUGCAGUCGAGAAUCUUUCGCAAUGCCCGGAAGGGUGACGAAGCGACGCCGCGUGUGGGAAGAAGGCCUUCGGGUUGUAAACCACUGUCGGGAGUUAAGAAGUGUAAGGGGGUGAAUAGCCCUCUUACUUGACGUUAGCUCCGGAGGAAGCCACGGCUAACUCUGUGCCAGCAGCCGCGGUAAUACAGAGGUGGCAAGCGUUGUUCGGAAUUAUUGGGCGUAAAGAGCACGUAGGCGGCCCUACAAGUCAGCUGUGAAAUCCUUCUGCUCAACGGAAGAACGGCAGUUGAUACUAUAGGGCUGGAGUGCGGGAGGGGAGAGUGGAACUUCUGGUGGAGCGGUGAAAUGCGUAGAUAUCAGAAGGAACAUCGGCGGCGAAAGCGACUCUCUGGCCCGUAACUGACGCUGAGGUGCGAAAGCUAGGGGAGCAAACGGGAUUAGAUACCCCGGUAGUCCUAGCCGUAAACGAUGGGCACUCGGUAGAGGGGUUUUGAUUAUCUCUCUGCCUGAGCUAACGCGUUAAGUGCCCCGCCUGGGGAGUACGGCCGCAAGGCUAAAACUCAAAAGAAUUGACGGGGGCUCGCACAAGCGGUGGAGCAUGUGGCUUAAUUCGAUGCAACACGAAGAACCUUACCGGGGCUUGACAUGGUAGAAGUAGGAGCCCGAAAGGGUAACGAACGGUAUCCAGUCCGUAGCUAUCACAGGUGUUGCAUGGCUGUCGUCAGCUCGUGUCGUGAGACGUUGGGUUAAGUCCCCUAACGAGCGAAACCCUUGUCUUUAGUUGCCAACAGGUCAAGCUGGGCACUCUAAAGAGACUGCUGUCGUCAAGACGGAGGAAGGUGGGGAUGACGUCAAGUCAUCAUGGCCCUUAUGUCCCGGGCUGCACACGUGCUACAAUGGUCGGUACAAAGGGAUGCCAAGUCGCAAGACGGAGCGAAACCCAAAUAAAGCCGAUCCCAGUUCAGAUUGGAGGCUGAAACCCGCCUCCAUGAAGUAGGAAUCGCUAGUAAUCGCGGAUCAGCUAUGCCGCGGUGAAUAUGUUCCCGAGCCUUGAUCACACCGCCCGUC